GAUUUUUCCCAAGCUAAUCAAAAUAUGACUGAAACGAUUAACCUACCAGCUUCCAAUACAGAAAACACUCAACUAUAUGAUAUCACUAAAAAUUAAAUGUUUAUUGUUAUUAAAAUACAUUAGCAAUCAAAUUAUAUUCAUCUCAAAUUAUUUCAAAAAAUAUGUUAGGCACUCAAGUUAAGAUACCAGAGAGCCCUCAGUCAAAAACUAUUCCAGCUACAUUCGAAUUCUCUUCAUCUCAAAAUAUUUCAAAAAAUAUCUUAGGUACUCAAAUUAAGCUACCAAAUAGUAAACAUUUUUCCUUUAUUUUAUAUAACAAAAAUUAUAGCAACCAAAACUUUAGACUACACUGGAUAUUCUCUUGAAAAUCUUUCAAAAU